ACUCCUACGGGAGGCAGCAGUGGGGAAUAUUGCACAAUGGGCGCAAGCCUGAUGCAGCCAUGCCGCGUGUAUGAAGAAGGCCUUCGGGUUGUAAAGUACUUUCAGCAGUGAGGAAGGUGGGUAUGUUAAUAGCAUACUCAUUUGACGUUAGCUGCAGAAGAAGCACCGGCUAACUCCGUGCCAGCAGCCGCGGUAAUACGGAGGGUGCGAGCGUUAAUCGGAAUUACUGGGCGUAAAGCGCAUGCAGGUGGUUUGUUAAGUCAGAUGUGAAAGCCCGGGGCUCAACCUCGGAAUUGCAUUUGAAACUGGCAAACUAGAGUACUGUAGAGGGGGUAGAAUUUCAGGUGUAGCGGUGAAAUGCGUAGAGAUCUGAAGGAAUACCGGUGCGAAGGCGGCCCCCUGGACAGAUACUGACACUCAGAUGCGAAAGCGUGGGGAGCAAACAGGAUUAGAUAGCCCGGUAGGCUCUGC
rnacentral:rRNA from 1 species